UGGGGAAUCUUGCGCAAUGGGCGAAAGCCUGACGCAGCAACGCCGCGUGGGGGAUGAAGGCUCUCGGGUUGUAAACCCCUUUCAGCAGGGACGAAUCAAGACGGUACCUGCAGAAGAAGCCCCGGCUAACUACGUGCCAGCAGCCGCGGUAACACGUAGGGGGCAAGCGUUGUCCGGAUUUAUUGGGCGUAAAGAGCUCGUAGGUGGCUAAGUAAGUCGGGUGUUAAAUCCCCAGGCUCAACCUGGGACACCAUCUGAUACUGCUUUGGCUAGAGUCCGGUAGGGGAGCGUGGAAUUCCUGGUGUAGCGGUGAAAUGCGCAGAUAUCAGGAGGAACACCAGCGGCGAAGGCGGCGCUCUGGGCCGGUACUGACACUGAGGAGCGAAAGCGUGGGUAGCAAACA
rnacentral:rRNA from 1 species